GAUUAACGCUGGCGGUAUGUCUAAUACAUGCAAGUCGAACGAGGCUUCGAGCCGAGUGGCGGACGAGCGAGUAACACGUUGGAACCUGCCCCGAACUCAGGGAUAAGCACUAGAAAUGGUGUCUAAUACCGGAUAGUCCCGUAAGGGUAAAGCUUUUGCGGUUCGGGAGGGGCCUGCGGCCUAUCAGCUAGUUGGUGAGGUAACUGCUCACCAAGGCUACGACGGGUAACUGGUCUGAGAGGAUGACCAGUCGCGAUGGAACUGAGACACGGUCCAU
rnacentral:rRNA from 1 species